UGGGGAAUUUUGGACAAUGGGGGAAACCCUGAUCCAGCCAUCCCGCGUGUGCGAUGAGGGCCUUCGGGUUGUAAAGCACUUUUGGCAGGAAAGAAACGGCGUGUGCUAAUACCAUGCGCAACUGACGGUACCUGCAGAAUAAGCACCGGCUAACUACGUGCCAGCAGCCGCGGUAAUACGUAGGGUGCAAGCGUUAAUCGGAAUUACUGGGCGUAAAGCGUGCGCAGGCGGUUCGGAAAGAAAGAUGUGAAAUCCCAGGGCUCAACCUUGGAACUGCAUUUUUAACUACCGGACUAGAGUAUGUCAGAGGGAGGUGGAAUUCCACGUGUAGCAGUGAAAUGCGUAGAUAUGUGGAGGAACACCGAUGGCGAAGGCAGCCUCCUGGGAUAAUACUGACGCUCAUGCACGAAAGCGUGGGGAGCAAACAG
rnacentral:rRNA from 1 species